CGAGCCUUUCCCGUGGAGGGGGAGGGGACGGAGUCAGCUCUGCGUCUCUCUCUGAAAUUGGCGGGAGGCGAAGAUGUCACUCGACUUGGAUGGUGAGGAGCACUUUUUGGAAGAGACUAAAUUCAAGGAGUAUUGUGUAGAAUUUAUCAAACACUCACAACAAAUAGGAGACAGUUGGGAGUGGAGAAAUGUAAAGGGUUCUGCAGGUGGCUAUAUGAGUAAAACACACUUUCAAGUGAAAGGCAGAGGCGUCUCACCAGACACAGGGGAAAUAAUGAACGACAGCGAUGAAACACCAUUUACAUAU